ACUCCUACGGGAGGCAGCAGUAGGGAAUCUUCCACAAUGGGCGAAAGCCUGAUGGAGCAACGCCGCGUGGGUGAAGAAGGUCUUCGGAUCGUAAAACCCUGUUGUUAGAGAAGAAAGUGCGUGAGAGUAACUGUUCACGUUUCGACGGUAUCUAACCAGAAAGCCACGGCUAACUACGUGCCAGCAGCCGCGGUAAUACGUAGGUGGCAAGCGUUAUCCGGAUUUAUUGGGCGUAAAGGGAACGCAGGCGGUCUUUUAAGUCUGAUGUGAAAGCCUUCGGCUUAACCGGAGUAGUGCAUUGGAAACUGGAGACUUGAGUGCAGAAGAGGAGAGUGGAACUCCAUGUGUAGCGGUGAAAUGCGUAGAUAUAUGGAAGAACACCAGUGGCGAAAGCGGCUCUCUGGUCUGUAACUGACGCUGAGGUUCGAAAGCGUGGGUAGCAAACAGGAUUAGAUACCCUGGUAGGAUAGCG
rnacentral:rRNA from 1 species